rnacentral:rRNA from 1 species
CGGACGGGUGAGUAACGCGUGAGAACCUGCCUCUAGGACGGGGACAACAGUUGGAAACGGCUGCUAAUCCCGGAUAAGCCGAAAGGUGAAAGAUUUAUCGCCGAGAGAGGGGCUUGCGUCUGAUUAGCUAGUUGGUAGGGUAAGAGCCUACCAAGGCGACGAUCAGUAGCUGGUCUGAGAGGAUGAUCAGCCACACUGGGACUGAGACACGGCCCAGACUCCUACGGGAGGCAGCAGUGGGGAAUUUUCCGCAAUGGGCGAAAGCCUGACGGAGCAAGACCGCGUGGGGGAGGAAGGUUCUUGGAUUGUCAACCCCUUUUCUCAGGGAAGAAGAAAGUGACGGUACCUGAGGAAGAAGCAUCGGCUAACUCCGUGCCAGCAGCCGCGGUAAUACGGGGGAUGCAAGCGUUAUCCGGAAUGAUUGGGCGUAAAGAGUCCGUAGGUGGCUGUUCAAGUCUGCUGUUAAAGAGCGAGGCUUAACUUCGUAAAAGCAGUGGAAACUGAAGGGCUAGAGUAUAGUAGGGGCAGAGGGAAUUCCUGGUGUAGCGGUGAAAUGCGUAGAGAUCAGGAAGAACACCGGUGGCGAAAGCGCUCUGCUGGGCUAAAACUGACACUGAGGGACGAAAGCUAGGGGAGCGAAUGGGAUUAGAUACCCCUGUAGUC